AUUGAACGCUGGCGGCAGGCCUAACACAUGCAAGUCGAGCGAGCGGCGGACGGGUGAGUAAUGUCUGGGAAACUGCCUGAUGGAGGGGGAUACCUACUGGAAACGGUAGCUAAUACCGCAUACCAUCAGAUGUGCCCAGCUGGGAUUAGCUAGUAGGUGUGGUAACGGCUCACCUAGGCGACGAUCCCUAGCUGGUCUGAGAGGAUGACCAGCCACACUGGAACUGAGAAACGGGCCAGACUCCUACGGGAGGCAGCAGGGUGGAAUAUGGCACAAUGGGCGCAAGCCUGAUGCAGCCAUGCCGAGUGUGUGAAGAAGGCCGUCGGGGUGGAAAGCACUUUCAGCGGGGAGGCGUUACCCGCAGAAGAAGCACCGGCUAACUCCGGGCCAGCAGCCGCGGUAAUAC
rnacentral:rRNA from 1 species